CACUACAGAAGCUAAACAGGACAGCACUAACCUUUUAAGUUAGAGAAGAGAGACAACCACCUCUCCUUAGUGA
rnacentral:tRNA from 1 species